UGAAAAACUGGUUCAGUAUCAAAUUCUUAUCCAUUUUCCCUCUUUCAUUCUUUUUAAGUAGUUGUGAUGUCACAAAUGCAACUCCAGUGUUCCACCAAAUGAUGUAGACUAAGAACUGAAACUGCUCUGCAAUUGCCCAAAUUAUAGUGAAUAUCAGAUAAAAGGUUUGCUAUCUCCUGCUGUCUAUUUUCAGGAGCCAUAAAUAACCCAGCACAAGCAGAGCUACCCCCUGCAAGCAACACGAUGCCUUCUGGAAGUCUGAAUAGGGGAAGAACAGUCUUGCCAUCUCAGUAAUGUUCUGAUUCAGCCAAUUUAUGGUGGGAACUGAGAUCCUUCAUUUCUAAGAAGCAACCAGGAGAUGCCAACUCUACAGGUCCAGGGCUCAGGUUUUGAGUGAGGACCUUGGACUUCAAAUAACCUGGAUUUGUCCCAGAUUGCAAGUGUUUUCAGACAUCCUCAGAAGGAGAGGUUUGGAGCAUUUCUUGGGCUCAACUCCUAGAAAUAGACCAUAAACUCCAAGAGGGAAAGGACUUAAAAUACAGGAACUCAAAUACUAUCUACUAAAUGAAUGAAUGAAUGAAUGAAUGAAUGGAGUUCCCUUUCAUCAUCACAGCCAAAGCCCUUAUUCAAUAGAACAAAAUAGGUUCCAACACAAGGCAGACAUGGAUCUUGGCUUCAAAGGAUUUAUGGAUUAAAGAAGAUAAACCAUGGGCUUAAGUAACUGUAAUUCCAAAAAGAAAUAUAUAGGUGGCAUAAGACAUGGACAGCUAAACUGUGAUGGGAAUUCAAGCGAUGCCUGAUCUUGGCUGUACAACUGUUAUCUCAUCUAAAUCCUACAGCUGUGUCACUUCCUAACGACCACCAUCCCUGCAAGACAGCUGUUGCUCUUAAUUGGCAGGAAUAAAACAUAUGAGCAUUAAAAAACUAGCCUGGAUGAUGAGCUACACAAAAAAAUCCAUUUACAUUUUUUUCCAAACUAUUUGAAGCAAGAAAAGGCAGGGCAGAAGGCUUCAUCAGAAAGACAUGGAGUUCCUUGGUCUCACACCCAGAAUUUUGCAACUGAAAUUGCAUAGAACCAAGCUGCCUCUUGGCCAGUCCAAAGGAGAGUCCCACCCACAAAAACAUUGAAAAGUAUUUGAAGUCUCUAUCAAAUUUUCCUGAUGAGCUGCCAAAGGAGAAUUCUGUUAUAAAUCACAGUGAAACUUCUUAAAAUCCACUUUUUCCA